rnacentral:tRNA from 1 species
GAACGAGUGCGGACCUGGCCGGGGAGAGUUUUCAGCCCUCUCAAGGCUGAAACAGGGGUUCGAUUCCCCUAGGGAGCGCCA